rnacentral:tRNA from 1 species
GGUGGAUAUAGCUCAGUGGUAGAGCAUGUGCUUAGUAUGCACAAGGUCCUGGGUUCAAUCCCCGGUACCUCCA